GACGAACGCUGGCGGCGUGCUUAACACAUGCAAGUCGAACGGUGAAGCGCCUUCCUUUUUGGUGGGUGUGGAUGAGUGGCGAACGGGUGAGUAACACGUGAGUAACCUGCCCCCUUCUUCUGGAUAACCGCAUGAAAGUGUGGCUAAUACGGGAUAUUCUGGGUCUGUCGCAUGAUGGGUCUGGGAAAGAUAUUGUUUCGGUGGGGGAUGGGCUCGCGGCCUAUCAGCUUGUUGGUGGGGUGAUGGCCUACCAAGGCGGUGACGGGUAGCCGGCCUGAGAGGGUGGACGGUCACACUGGGACUGAGACACGGCCCAGACUCCUACGGGAGGCAGCAGUGGGGAAUAUUGCACAAUGGGCGCAAGCCUGAUGCAGCGACGCCGCGUGAGGGAUGGAGGCCUUCGGGUUGGGAACCUCUUUCGCCAGUGAAGCAGGCCUGCCUCGUUUGUGGGUGGGUUGACGGUAGCUGGAUAAGAAGCGCCGGCUAACUACGU
rnacentral:rRNA from 1 species